rnacentral:lncRNA from 1 species
UAGAAUGAGGUAUCUUUUUUAUUUGCAGGGUAAAAUGCAGUUUCAUAAAUACAUAUUAAACUAUAAAUAUCAAUACAGCUUGAAAUACCAGACAUGAGUAAUAAAUGUAUGCUGUCAAAAUUUGAGUAGGUAAGAAGGUGAAAGUUUGAAAAAAUGUAUGGCAUUUAUAAAAAAAUAUCAGACAAAAAGACGUAAUUGUGAGGUAAUGCCAACUUAGUAGUUUUAACAGUCAUAGUUCAGAUAUUUUCACACUAAGAGAGUAUUGUCAGAAGUUUUCUGAUAUAUGUACAUUUACGAUAAAAAUAUGCAUGGUAAAUUUUAGUAAAAAUAUUUGUUAAAAAUAUCCAUGAAAUUUACAUUAUUAUAGCAUUUUCAAAGCAAGUUGAGAAAUCUAUAUAUAGAUUUGAAAAAUUCAAAACAAAAUGAAACCAGUGGGCCAAAACAAAAAUGUAUGUUUGGUUGACAUUGAUGGUAAACUGUUUAAAAAGGCCAACUGGAAAUAUUUACUCAUAGGAUAGUUAUUGAUUCAGAUUUGGGUAUUUUUGUUACUUUACUUUUACUCAUUAUUUUACAAACCCUGCCUGAACAAUUUUGAUCUUAAAAAUUAUUCUUGUCUAAACUUCUUAUUAAAGUUCUGCGGCAGUCUGAAAAGACCAUUUAUCAGUCAUAAGCUUAAGAAAACUGAGAAAAACCAUGUCAAAUUUACCAUUAACAGAAGAACUGAGAAAUAACAUGCAUAGUUCACCAUUAGCAUGAUUAUCACAACAGGUUAAUAUAGGCACUUAUAAUGGCGAUCAGAUAUGAGAAAUAAAAAUAUAUAAAGAUUUGUUAACAGAUAUACAUUUAAUUUGGUCCUACAAAGGAUAUUGCACAUUAAAAUAUAUAUGGUUUUAAUGGUGUAAACUAUUAUCAUAUAAUAAGAUUUUUUAUAACCAAACAAGUAUAUGUAUUAACCAAUAUCUGUGCAACUGGUAAGCUUAAUUGUAUAUAGGGCUAUACUGUUGUUGAUUGUCAAAAGUAAUAUUGCCCAGAUGAAAAAACUGCCUCCAGGUGAUCUCAAAUAAAACUUAUCCUAGUUCCACAUAUUAAAUCUCUUUUUAAAUGUUUGACAUUUUUUUUUUUAAACAACUUCUUGAUGACCAGUUGCAAAAAAAUUGGUAACACAUUUAAAGUAUAAUAAGAAAUGAUAUUAAUUACAAUCAUAAAAACUAUUAGACUUUUUAAAAAUUUACAAGUAUACAUUAUUAAAUAGAAAGAUAAAUUUUCAACCUUUUAAAUGUAAAAAAUAAAUACAGCAUGUACAAAAUCUAAAAUUCAGAAAAGACCAUUCGAUAAAAUGUUUAUUUCAUAUACACAAUAAUUUUGUUC